UCACUGCUUGCGCAGGCAGUCUCGCUAGAGUCCCCGGCAUAACCCGCUGGUAACUAGCAAUAGGGGUUGCGUUCGUUGCGGGACUUAACCCAACAUCUCACGACACGAACUGACGACAGCCAUGCACCACCUGUGUAGGACCCCGAAGGACACCGUAUCUCUACGGCUUUUCCCUACAUGUCAAACCCAGGUAAGGUUCUUCGCGUUGCCUCGAAUUAAGCAACAUGCUCCGCCGCUUGUGCGAGCCCCCGUCAAUUCCUUUGAGUUUUAGCCUUGCGGCCGUACUCCCCAGGCGGGGCACUUAAUGCGUUAGCUACGGCACAGAACCAACAAACGUGGACCCACACCUAGCGCCCACCGUUUACAGCAUGGACUAC
rnacentral:misc_RNA from 1 species